CCUACGGGUGGCAGCAGUGAGGAAUAUUGGUCAAUGGGCGUAAGCCUGAACCAGCCAAGUCGCGUGAGGGAUGAAGGUUCUAUGGAUCGUAAACCUCUUUUAUAAGGGAAUAAAGUGUGGGACGUGUCCUAUUUUGUUUGUACCUUAUGAAUAAGGAUCGGCUAACUCCGUGCCAGCAGCCGCGGUAAUACGGAGGAUCCAAGCUUUAUCCGGAUUUAUUGGGUUUAAAGGGUGCGUAGGCGGCCGUAUAAGUCAGCGGUGAAAGUCUGUGGCUCAACCAUAGAAUUGCCGUUGAAACUGGGGGCUUGAGGAUGUUUGAGGCAGGAGGAAUGCGUGGUGUAGCGGUGAAAUGCUUAGAUAUCACGCAGAACCCCGAUUGCGAAGGCAGCCUGCCAAGCCAUGAAUGACGCUGAUGCACGAAAGCGUGGGGAUCAAACAGGAUUAGAUACCCUAGUAGUC
rnacentral:rRNA from 1 species